ensembl:rRNA 5S_rRNA 5S ribosomal RNA
GUCUGCAGCUAUAUCAACCUGAACACGCCCUAUCUCAUCUGAUCCUGGAAGCUAAGCAGGGUCAGUCCUGGUUAGUAUUUGGAUGGGAGACAAAAGCACUCAAGACCAAGAGCUAGCGACU